AGGACGAACGCUGGCGGCGUGCCUAACACAUGCAAGUGGAGCGACGACCCGGGCUUCGGCCCGGUGCAAAGCCGCGAACGGGUGAGUAACACGUGGGUAACCUGCCCUGAUGAUUGGGACAACCCGAGGAAACUCGGGCUAAUACCGAAUGUGCCCUCCGGCCAUAAGGCCGCUGGGGAAAGGAAGCUUCGGCCUCCGCAUCGGGAUGGGCCCGCGGCCCAUUAGCUUGUUGGUGAGGUAACGGCUCACCAAGGCAACGAUGGGUAGCUGGUCUGAGAGGACGAUCAGCCACACUGGGACUGAGACACGGCCCAGACUCCUACGGGAGGCAGCAGUGGGGAAUUUUUGCGCAAUGGGGGAAACCCUGACGCAGCAACGCCGCGUGGAGGAUGAAGUCCCUUGGGACGUAAACUCCUUUCGAUCGGGACGAUUAUGACGGUACCGGAAGAAGAAGCCCCGGCUAACUUCGUGCCAGCAGCCGC
rnacentral:rRNA from 1 species